UUUAUCUUUUUUACAAUGUUUGUUUACAAUUUGUUUCGUUGUGUCCACGCCAUAGUUUUGAGCAGAACGCUAGACAGACCCAGUCUGCGGAGUAAAAAAAAAGUACAUUUGGCGUCGCAUCGUUCAAGCUACGGCGAUAGUCAAUUCACUGGCCCGAAGAAACCGCUACCUGGCAAUUGUCCUUUGUUGCCAUCUUGUAUGGUUGCCGUUGCACUUUAGUCUGCACAUGUUCCUUCUCACCCUUAGUUAUGCUAAUCACGCCACGAGUGCUCCUUGGCGAUUGUCACAGGGUGGCUAUUACGAGGAAGACAUGUGUGAUUGUGUAUAUGGGUUCAUG
rnacentral:lncRNA from 1 species